GAGUGAGAACUGAGGCCAUCACAAUUCCCACCACUUCCUGUUGCUGUGUUGACUUUUAGAGAAGUCUGUUUCUCAUAAAAGCAGCAUCCCUGAAGCCAGCAGGCCAGCUAGACUGAGGAUCAUGGCUGUGGUUCUUCACACUCUGCUCUGUCUUGGGUUGUAUCUAAGUCAGAGCACUCAGGUGCAGGAGGGGGCUUAUGAAAAACCCUCACUCUCGAGCUUGAGUGGCACCGCGGUGGCUUCGGGAAACAAUGUGACAUUACUGUGUUUCUCAAAAGAUAAGUUUCAGGCAUUUAUUCUCAUGAAAGAUGGACUUCCCACCAUCCAGAGAAAAAGCUCCGCACACAAGAACAACAAACAUCAGGCUGUCUUCCACUUGGGCCGUGUUACCUCCACUCAGGCAGGAACCUACAGAUGCUGUGGUGCCUUCGACGAUUACCCUUAUGUGUGUUCUCAUCUC